AGCGAGACGGAAGGAGAGAACGGCGCUCAGGGCGCUCUGUUUUCUUUCGGGUUGUCCUCGCGGCUUCCGGUCCGCCGGGUCUCCUUCUCGGGCUGCUACAGCUGCGUUAUGUCGCGGCGGGCCUUGAGGCGGCUGCGAGGGGAGUCGCGGGGCCAGGCGCUGCCGGAGGAGGAGCCGCCGCCGCCGCCAGUCUUGGGGAGGCCCGAGGCGGAGGCGGAGGAGCAGGCGGCAGGAGGCCGCCGGCGGCGGCGGCAGGCGGCGGCCGGGCGCGUCGCCAACCUGUUCGAGCUGAUAACCAGUGAAGAACCAGAGGAUGAGCUGCCAUUCAGAGAGGAGAAAGAUGAUUCCAGGCUGCAGGAGGAAGAUGACACAGGGAACAAAGAGGUGGAACCUGGAAGUCUGGAGAGGGACAGACAGAAAGAAGGAGAAGAGGCUGAGCAACUGGACCAAAUGCCUGUUUCAAAUAACAAACCACGGAAGAAAAAGAAAAAAAGGAAGAAUAAGAAGAAUGCGUCAGGAGAGACUCUGGUAAAAUUUGCAGCAGGUCUGGGGGCUGAGCAGCGAGAGGCAUGUGGCCAGUGCAGGCA
rnacentral:lncRNA from 1 species